rnacentral:rRNA from 1 species
UACGAAGGGGGCUAGCGUUGCUCGGAAUGACUGGGCGUAAAGGGCGCGUAGGCGGCUGUUACAGUCAGAUGUGAAAUUCCUGGGCUCAACCUGGGGGCUGCAUUUGGUACGUGAUGGCUGGAGUGGGGAAGAGGGUCGUGGAAUUCCCAGUGUAGAGGUGAAAUUCGUAGAUAUUGGGAAGAACACCGGUGGCGAAGGCGGCGACCUGGUCCUUGACUGACGCUGAGGCGCGAAAGCGUGGGGAGCAAACAGG